AACUUGCAGACUGUGGCGCAACUGGUCUUGGUAGCGGAGGCACCCGAAUGCUGCCCGGGUGAGAUGAGGAAACUGAGGUUUAGACAAGCAGUGGGAGUUUUCCAUGGAUUUACAUCUCAUUUAGUGGCAUUUGCAAGACUAGAACUUGGAUCUUCUGAUGUCCAGUCCAUUGCUUUGUGUAUUCUGCCAUCAUUUCAGUUCUGAUAGCAAUGAGGACACAUCAUGGAAACUGCAAUACACAAAGGACUGUUAAGCAUGCCCCCAGUGACCUGGGUUCUAGUUCUGGGACUACAUUUGGCCGUAUGACCUGGGCCAUCAUAUCACUUCCAAGUCUCAAGUGUCUCACAUAUAAAACAAAACGUUUGUAUGAAAUUAUGUUUUUUCUUUCCAACUUUAGCAUUUUGUGAUGUUUACCAAUGUGUUUGUAAUCCAAUGUUAUCAUUUUCUCUAGAGGAAGGAGACCUUUGUACCCCACAUCACCUAAGAGACCUAGCUAAUUACUCUUUCACCUUUAGUUUAUCCCUUCCCCCCUUUACUACAUGCCACUUCAUCAAAGGAAUGAAACUU
rnacentral:lncRNA from 10 species